AUUGAACGCUGGCGGCAUGCUUUACACAUGCAAGUCGAACGGUAACAGGCCGCAAGGUGCUGACGAGUGGCGAACGGGUGAGUAAUGCAUCGGAACGUGCCCAGUCGUGGGGGAUAACUACUCGAAAGAGUAGCUAAUACCGCAUACGAUCUAUGGAUGAGAGCGGGGGACCGUAAGGCCUCGCGCGAUUGGAGCGGCCGAUGUCAGAUUAGGUAGUGGGUGGGGUAAAGGCUCACCAAGACAACGAUCUGUAGCUGGUCUGAGAGGACGACAGGCCACACUGGGACUGAGACACGGCCCAGAGUCCUAAGGGAGGCAGCAGUGGGGAAUUUUGGACAAUGGGCGGAAGCCUGAUCCAGCAAUGCCGCGUGCAGGAAGAAGGCCUUCGGGUUGUAAACUGCUUUUGUACGGAACGAAACGGCUCUGGUUAAUACCCGGGGCUAAUGACGGUACCGGAAGAAUAAGCACCGGCUAACUACGUG
rnacentral:rRNA from 1 species